rnacentral:rRNA from 1 species
UACGUAGGGUGCGAGCGUUAAUCGGAAUUACUGGGCGUAAAGCGUGCGCAGGCGGUUUUGUAAGCCAGAUGUGAAAUCCCCGGGCUCAACCUGGGAACUGCAUCUGUGACUGCAUAGCUAGAGUACGGUAGAGGGGGAUGGAAUUCCGCGUGUAGCAGUGAAAUGCGUAGAUAUGCGGAGGAACACCGAUGGCGAAGGCAAUCCCCUGGACCUGUACUGACGCUCAUGCACGAAAGCGUGGGGGAGCAAACAGGG